UUAAUUAUCUUUUCUAUUAAGCUGGAGUCUCGCAGUAUCUCCAAAUUAUUAUUAUUUUUGAUGCAUUUUCACUCUGAUUGUAAUAGUGGUUCAAAUCUCGUUGAGAUGGGAUGUUUUACUGUCCACCUGUCGAAAUCCUCUAGUAACAUUACUUGACUCGAGCAAAAAAGCUGAGACUGACGAAAAAAGUUCAAGAAAGAGAGUAUAAUGUAAGUUAGGUCGCUGGAGUUUACACAUAUAUCUAUAUGCUCGUCUCCUCCAUUAACCACCAACAGAGUAAAUUGGUAAACCUCUAACCGGCACCAAAUUGAAUCCUUAGGGUUUCCGCGCAUCGAAAACUGUAGAAAAUUAAGCUGGCAAUUGGAGCUUUUUGUUGUUCUUCCAGCUGCAAACAUAAAACAGAAGAGAACAGUCAAAGGCAGAAGUAGAGUUAGGAACAAAAGGAGAGGAUAAGGUGAUGGUUUUACCUAAGGAAAUAAUAGUAGAAGAAGUCGGCAUAGAGCAAUGUCUGGACAAGCCCCGCGAUCCAUGCUGCAUCAUCGUAAUCACACAGUCCAUUUUAACAUGCCAGAUAUACAAAGACCAGCGGAUAUUCCACAAAGAAAACAGUGAAGGACAAUGAGAAGGAGUGAUGCAUAUUCAGGACAUAUGCUUUCUACAAGUUUCAUGUGGCAAAGAAGCUACAUAUAUGCUGCAUCUAUUGAAACGCUAAAUUAAGCUAACAAUGAAGAAGGUUAAGAGAGAGAGAGAGAGAGAGUCAUACUUAUCCAGUGAACAAAGUGGGGCUCAGUGAAGUAACGGUAGAUCCAGUUUAGGAUGUACAAUCCCCUGUACCCACUGCAAGAAGAUGACAAUCAAGAGAAGUCAAAGGAAGAAGAAGCAAUAGGUAAAUAUACACUUAUACCCCUUGGGUUAAUUAAUCCAAACCUUAGGGUUUAGAGUUAAGGGGUGGGGUUUUGGAAUUAGGGUUUAAAAUUUUAUAAAAAAUAAAUACUAAAAUAAAAAAUAAAAAUUUUAAAAACAGUUUCAAAAAAUAUUUUUAAAUUAUAAAAAGAAAAUUUGAAAAAAAAUAAAAAAAAAAUUUCGAAAAAAAAAUUUCAAAAAAAAGUUAUAAAAAUUUCGAAUCUGAAAACAUAUAAUCUGAAACUAUAAAAAAAAUUUAUUUUUUGUUUUUUAUUUUUUUAUUUUUAUUUUUUAUUUUUGUUUGUUUAUUUAAUUUUAAACCAAGGGUAUUAGAGAUAUUUUACUCUUUAAUGAAUGUCAUUUUUGUGACUUUCUCCUUCUAGUACUAUUUUUGAGACAUAAACUUCAAAAGGUGCUAGUAUUGACAAUUGCCCAUUUAAUUACACACCAUAUGAUCAUACUUGCCUGGUCACUAAUAAAUAGAACCCUUUGGAGUUUGGACUAUACAAUUUCUUGUCUUUUUGUAUUUUUAUAAGAGGAAACAAAAGAAAGAGAUACUAACCUGAAGACUGAUCCAUGUAGAGAUCAACUUCUUUGCCAGAGUGAAGUGUGGAAAUAUGACCUUGACCCCAUUUAACAACAUAGUUCUGACCGAAAGUAACAUAUUUCUCGACUCCUCUCCCUCCGAUAAACCUAGCAUCAACCAUUGUUAUCCAUAACCAUAACGCUACUGCAAAAACACCAAAGAUUUUCGUAUGUAUCAUCUUGGUUUGGUUUUUCUCUGAGGUACUAUAGUGUUGCACCUAUACAAGCUGGUUUAAUAAGGUUGAAAAAGUGGAAAGCAUGAAAGAUAUGGUGGAGACAGAGAGAUUAGAGUCACAUCAAAUUCUCUAUACAUCUCCUACACGCCAGUUCUUAUUGUCCCAUGCCCAUCACCAUUCUCUCUUUCUUUUUCUUCGAGAUGUAGUUAUCCAUUAAAUAUUCUUUUCUACAAUAGCGCUAUUAUGAGAAGUAUGUUGCUUCGAUCGACUAUGGAUAUCACUUAUAUGAUUUUAGGUGCGUGGAAAAUUUGAUGGAGUUAGAAUAUAUGCAUAUAAGAAAUGUUAAGAUUAUCAAGUUUUGUUACGUGUUGAUAAAAAAAAAAGAAUUAAGUGUUGUUACGUCAACUUGAAAAUACACAAGACAGCCUAAAAAUCAUAGGUUUAAUAACCCCUGCUAAUAAAAUAAAAACAAACGUUAAGAUUAGUUGUAGUUCUAAAUUUGUGUUCUCUUUCUUUUUCGUAUUGAGUUAAUGAAAAGACAAGAAUCUAUGAUCUAUCGUAUAGUGUUCCGAACAUGACUGUAUAGAAGUUUGAAUUGUAUAGAGACGGGUGUGCAUGUUCUAGAUGUGCAAAGCUUCAUAUUUAAUGCUCAAAGACUUCCCUAAAUUAGUACCAAAUUCACGAAAGUGAUGGAUGAGAUUUUAGAACCUUAAUUAUCUACCGACAAAAAAAAAAGCUUAAUCUUUCAUUGUUUUUUAAAAAAGAAGCUUAAUUAUCUUUUCUAUUAAGCUGGAGUCUCGCAGUAUCUCCAAAUUAUUAUUAUUUUUGAUGCAUUUUCACUCUGAUUGUAAUAGUGGUUCAAAUCUCGUUGAGAUGGGAUGUUUUACUGUCCACCUGUCGAAAUCCUCUAGUAACAUUACUUGACUCGAGCAAAAAAGCUGAGACUGACGAAAAAAGUUCAAGAAAGAGAGUAUAAUGUAAGUUAGGUCGCUGGAGUUUACACAUAUAUCUAUAUGCUCGUCUCCUCCAUUAACCACCAACAGAGUAAAUUGGUAAACCUCUAACCGGCACCAAAUUGAAUCCUUAGGGUUUCCGCGCAUCGAAAACUGUA
rnacentral:lncRNA from 1 species